ACUUCCCAGACAGCACAUGUACGUCUGGCCGACGUCGGCCCAAUAUCGAAACGUCGGCCUCUAUACCUAAAACAUCUAUAAAACAUCGGCCUGGCGGAGGCCGAUAUAAUUUGGUCAGUGCUCUGUUCUCCAGCUCAUCAGUCGUCGGCCCUGAGUUGGUUCACGACCGCGGGCCGAUGCUGCGCUUAUCUGUGUGCGCGUGCCCAGUAUUCGUCUCUUUUAGCCACCCAGAGAGAGAGAAGAGGAUAAUCCCAGCGACAUCUGUGGCUCUGAGGCUUCCAGAAAUAAUCCGGUGAAAUAAUAUGGUGAGCUAUUGUUGCUGUUGCUUCUGAACUACAAAAUGAUUUUUAAAUUUAUUAUUGAAUGAGACUGUACAUUAUAAAUGUAAUGCUUUAACUCUAGAUGUUUGUUUGUGUGAAUGCUGUGUGUGCGGUGAGUCCUGCGCGAGCGGGGAGCAGAGUUGCCAUGGAAACGGGGCGUCAACACAAAAACCGUUACUGGCAAGCAGUAAUCUCCGUCUCUUGCUGCAGUUUACACUGUUUUGGGAGGACAGAAAGAAACUCUACAGAACAGAAGUGAAGCUCCAAGAUUUCAACAUUUAUGAAGGGAGAUACUGACUUAGAAAUACAGCUUGUUUCCUUCUAAUGAACCUGGAACUGCAGAGUAAAUAUUGUUGACUCCGUGUCAGAUUGCUUGUUUUGUUCCUGGAUUCUUCAGUGAUGACGAUCAGAGUCUGAGUGAACCUGCUGUCAGACAGGUUGGCCUGAUUGACGAUGUCAUCGUCCAUCGCCGAUGGCUGAUAGACAUUACGAUGCUGCGCUGGCAAACAGCGUCAUCAGCUCCAGUAUCUCGCCCGUGCAUCUGUUGUCAUGCGGAGAAGUCACGUUCUAUAGACAGUUUCUAUAGACAGUUGUGAACGUGCUGACAGCUGGUUGCCCAGGCUAUGGAUUAAAGGUAAUACUGUUGGCCAGCAGAGCCCUGCUCACCCUGACGGCCCACCGCUGCUGUCAGACAACAUCUUCAAGAUGCUAUAAACUCCAGGACUAGUAAGUACAAUCUUGAACAUGCACAGCUGUAUCAUAAGUUUGGGAAGGAUCGCCAUCCCAAGGUUUCUAGAGAUUACAGCAGCUCCAGACUCAAUCCAAACUCACUUUUGAAGACUUCAGAUGACACCAACACUCACAAAGACUACAGACGACAACUGUACAUGAACACACAAAACAUUGGACACACAAAACAAAUAUUAACCUUAUUUUGCUUACUUUUAAUAUUUACUCUCUGAGUUAUGUGGACCUACAUGUCCCCUUUUAUUUGUAAGCAUCACUUUAAAAAUGUUGAAAGAUAAUGUUAAUGUUAACUGAAUACAAAACUAGAGACUUGUUUAGUAAGAUUUUAUCAGAAAAUAUUUUUGAACUUUUAUCAUGCAAUUUAAAACAUUUUAAUUGC